rnacentral:tRNA from 1 species
GGGCCCGUAGCUCAGCUGGACAGAGCACCGGCCUCCUAAGCCGGGUGUCGGGGGUUCGAAUCCCUCCGGGUCCG